rnacentral:snRNA from 1 species
UUACUUACCUGGCAGGGGAGAUUCCAUGAUCACGAAGGUGGUUUUCCCAGGGCGAGGCUUUCCAUUGCACUCUGGAUGUGCUGACCCCUGCGAUUUCCCCAAAUGUGGGAGACAUGACAGCAUAAUUUGUGGUUGUGGGGACUGCAUUCGUGCUUUCCCCU